GAAUUUGUCUACACAAGAAUUUCCAACUUGAAGUACUGUCUUGCCAAUAGUAGUUCAUGCUCUAUUUAAUUUGUUGUUUCACUAUUUUUUCUUAGUCUCUGAGGUAGAUAAAUGCCUUGAAGAAAGAUUAAGAACGAUCAAAACUUUGGAGGGAGAAGACAUGUCCAAUUAAGAGAUUUGCUUUAGAUGUGUUGAUAGGUAAGCUCUUCCUAGACAACUGCAAUAUGUCAAUCUUUGACUGAGAUCCUCUAGAGAAAAUGUCAUGGAGGCAUACCUUGACUGGGUUUUCAAAGACUAGGAGGGCAGUCUACUUGGCCUAUGAGGCUCAAAUUGUAAGUGCAACAAGAGGGAUGGGUCAUUGGGUCAAAAUUCUUAAAGCUCCCAAUGAAGACGCCUUAGUAGGAGUAAGGUUGCGACUUUGUGAUGAGAAGUGUUACUUCCUAAAUGUUGAAAACUCAAAUUGAAAUAUGUUUUUGGUAACUAUAUCUCUGCUUUCUCUUAGACUCUGCAUUAUAUUGUUGGCAUUAACUACUAUGAAAUCAGUUCAAUUAAUCCUACUACUAGCUUUUGUCUUA